CAUUUCUUUGGCCGCUCCCGUGGCAUACAGAGGUUCCCAGGUUAGGGGUCCAGUUGGAGCUGUAGCCACCAGCCUACGCCAGAGCCACAGCAACACAGGAUCUGAGCCACGUCUGUAACCUUCACCACAGCUCAUGGCAACACUAGGUCCUUAUUAACCCACUGAGCAAGGCCAGGGAUUGAACCCACAACCUCAUGGUUCCUAGUCGUUUUCAUUAACCACUGCGCCACAACGGGAACUCCUGAUAAAUUCAUUUUUAAUGAAAGGAGCGAAGCUUUAUCCAUAUGUGUUUUCUGUUUUCUUAACCCACUGAGUGAGGCCAGGGAUCAAACCUGCAAACGCAUGGUUCCUAGUCGGGUUUGUUAACCACUGAGCCACAAAGGGAACUCCCAGAUAUGUGUUUUCUUCUCUUUUCUUUUCUUUUUCCACGUGUGUUUUCUUAAUUCAAUGCCUUCAGUAUCUAUUUAGCUAUUUACCUGUGCAAUGUACAAACCACUUUCUGGGCCAAGAGGAUCCUUCAGAUCAAAGAAUCAUUGAGCACCAGUGAGAAAACAUCUGUGGAUCUGUUUCCAAGUCCAUUAGCCUCCAUCUAGUCAAAAAACAUGCCCACUCAUGGUGCCUAACCUGACACCAAGGCUUACCAAUCACCUGCAGUGGAUGGCUGCUAUAGACUGAAUGUCUGCCCGCCCCCUGCCCGCCAGAUUCAUAGUUGAAAUGUAACGCCCAAUGUGAUGGCAGGAAGAAGGAGCCUUGGGGGGAUGAUCAAGUCCUAAGAGCCCUUAUCAUAGGGGCUGAGAAGAGGCCCUUGUUCCUUUGUCCAUGUGAAGGUGCAACCGAAAGAUGGACACCUAGGAAGUGGGUCUCCAUCCGACACUGAACCUGCCAGCACCUUGAUCUUGAACGUCUCAGCCUCCAGAACUGUAAGAAAUAAAUAUCUGUUAAUUAUAAGCCACCCAGUCUGUGGUCCUCUGUUAGAGCAGCUGGAAUUAGGGAACACAAACUCCUCUGUCCCAGCAAUCACCCCCUCACCACUUGGCUUUGCUGCUUCCCUUAUCCAGAGGGGAAUCCAUUUCAGACCCCCUGGAAUCUGGGCUCUAGUUGUGACUUUCAAAGACCCACCGAAUGUGGCAGAAGGGAGGCCGCCAAAUUCCUGAACCUACGUCUUUUUUUCUUUUCAGGGCUGCACCUGUGGCAUUCGGAAGUUGCCAGGUGAGGGGUGGAAUCCGAACUUCAGCUGCAGGCCUACACCACAGCCACAGCAAUGCGGAAUCCAAGCCACAUCUGCACCUACACCACAGCUUGCUACUCCAGUAGCAAUGCUGGAUCCUAACCCACUGAGCGAAGCCAGGGAUUGAACCCCAAUAUCCUAAGGAAAUUAUGUCAGGUUCUUAACCCUCUAAGCCAAAACAGGAACCCCCUGAGCCUUGAUCUUGAAAGCCCUCAUCAUUUCCCUCUUGAGCUUCUCACAGUGCGCCCCCCGCCCCCAGCCACCAGGCUGCCAUAGCAUAGAAAAUUCCAGAACAUGAGACUACUUGGAAGAAGAGUCCCAACCAUCCCAGCUGAGAACAGAAAACAAAUAGAGAAGCGUGAAUGAGCCCAGGUGAAAGCAGCUAACCUACAGAACUGUGAGAAAUUACUGUCCCUGCCUUGGGUCACUAUGUUUGGGGGUGUUUGUUAUGCAGCAAUAGACAACUGAGAGCUCUAGGGAGGCGUCGGGGGUGCAUGCAGGGCUGUCAAUCAUUUUCUGAAAUACUUGGAAGACAUAAAUAAAACAACGACCUUUUUAGAUUCUUGCUACAUCUCCUUGGGUCCUCAGACGUGCUGGCCUUUGCUGAAAGCCACUUUCCAAGGUUCAAUCCAAUAUUUCGCUUUUGGAAACAGUUCAGUUAUGCAUUUUUCCUUCCAAGCAGGAAACAGGUAGAAGACUUGGGAUUGUGCUUUUUGGCAAUGAAAACGCUAUUGGGAAAAUGCACAUAAUUUCGGAAGGUCCAAGGAAUGGAUUCACCCCGCUGCCUUUUCCGUUUUUACAUUAGUUUUCCCUCCUUCCUGGGGAGAAAGGUGCAAAUAAGGAUGGAUCUGUUUUCCUUUAGAACAUUUAGGCUCAUUGAAGAAUCAUUUUACCUCACAUGCCUUUAAUGCAGAAUAAUAUUUAAAGAAUAAUUUUCAAGAACAGAAUAUGAGAAAGCAAGUUUUCAGGGAAAUUUUUUUUUUCCUAAGAAUGUAGCUGGAGGCAGUCUUGCUCCUGGGCUUUGUUCAGUUACAUAGAUUUAAUUGCCCGGGGCAGGUCUUCGAAAGUUACGUUUACUCAAAUGUGGGCCUUCGGGACCGUAUUUUCUGGAAACAAAUGCUUUUCAAACAUCUCACUGUAGCAUUUAGUUGUAUCCGGACUCGGCAGAAUGUGACUCUUUCAAGAAUUAAACCCUUGAUUGGAAAAUAAAUUGCUAUCAAAUAUACCAUUCCUGCAAGCCCCCCAAAUGAAGGUAAUUUUUUGCACAUUUGAAUGUUAUGGCCGUUCCCAACUCCCCCAAACCCCCACCUCCUGGGCCUUUUAGCUCUUAAAACUGUCUGGAAACUAAACUGUACUUUAAAAAUUAUUGUUAUGGGGGGGAAAUGAAAACACAUUUCAAUUUUCUUUACGUGAGGCAGUGCAACUUCGCACGACUCCCGCAGCUUUCCAGGGACCAUGAGUGGGUGGCUUGACUUCCGUGUGGCCCCUACUUACCACAUGACAACAGUCAGAAAAACCGUGGUUUUCUAACCCCAGAAUGCUCCUCAAAACUAUCAAAACGCCUGCCCUGUCGGCAACUCCAGCUUAACUGUGCUCUAGUCAACAGCCCCUGGUGUCCUUUUUUUUUUUUAAUCCCACAUGAGUUUAAGUAUCUUUAUUCUAACUCUUUCAGAGCCUUCUUCUGUCCUCAAAAACAGGAUGGGAGCAGGGGUCGCGGGGGUCUUUGUCAGAAUAAAUCACAAUUUUUGGCAAGCAUCUGUGAUUUUUACCCACUUAGGGACUAGAAUACUGCCUUGUAAAACUGUGCAGCCUUCUCUUAGUGCUUAAUUAUAAGGCCAAAAUAAGGACACCAUUUCAUAGGCUCUUUUAAGGGAUAUACAUAUAAGAUUUUCAUCUUGGAACCUAUCAAGAGUUUAAAUUUUUUCCUAGCCACCUGUGGGCUGGUUCUGAUGACAACCAGCUCAGCGGACUGGUCAGGGACCCCAAUCUCGAGGUCCCGGGGGGAAGUUUCACUGGGCGUUUUCUUUGUCGACUUUCUCCUCCCCAUAAAUGAAAGGUUCACACACCUCAAGGCUGAUCCAGGAAAUCAGAGCUCCCACUUGUACACCACCACUCCAACUGGGUCCCAAGAGAGGGGUUCACGCUGAUUAAUCCCUGAUGCUGGAGGAACAAGGCUGCCCACUACGUGAGGCUCUGCAGGUUGAUGGCAAAGUUAGGGAAGCCCCUCCAGCCCUUUCCUGCACAACACACACAGGCUCUGUCUCAUCUGGCCCCAGGACCACCUCCGAUCCUUGUCCCCGCCUCCAGUCUUUCAACCAAACUGUGCUGUAUUGAACUGGAAAAAGGAGCCGAUUGCAUAACCAGGAGGCAAUGACGUUUGGCCAAAAACGUGAGACAUCGACACAUUUCUAUAGGUCAACAUUGGAUUCCUCCCCCCCAUCUUAGAUCGCAAUAAUCAAUAUCUUUGAGAUCAAUACACCUCUCAGAGAGCUGGCCGAUGCCACCAAAACUUAAGUGAGAUGGAUGCAAACCAGAAAAGAAAGGUAUUUCAUAUUUUAAAAUAAUGAAUAUUGGUGGGCAUGCCAAGAGGUGUUCAGUAUAUUUUUUCCCCUUAAAGAUGUUUAUUGAGGUGACACAGUAUCUAAGCGGCUUGGUACAAUUAUGGGAUUCCUGGAUGAGGAGUCUAUGCAUAGAAUAAGUCUCUUUACAUCAG
rnacentral:lncRNA from 1 species